UCGACGGGUGCUUCGCCUAUUAAAACUGCUCAUGAUCAGAUCAUCCUUAACGAUUCAUUUGCAUCAUUUCAAUCAUGGUGUGACACUUGGCAAAUGCAAAUCAACUUCCAAAAAACGGUAUCCCUGUCAUUUACCAAGCGUUCUUCCCCCCCCCCCCUCCAUUUACCUAUUCGUUUAAUGGUUGCCCUCUCGGAAAUGUUUCACAAUACAACUAUCUAGGUCUCCUUUUCACUAGGGAUUUAUCUUGGUCUCCUCCCAUCGAACUCAUGUGCAACCGUGCGCUUAGAAAGUUAGGUUACCUGCAACGCACUUUACGUUCAGCACCUCUCAGCAUAUGACUCCUCACUUAUAAAACACUGGUUUGUCCAAUAUUGAAAUAUGGUCUGUUGUGUGGAACCCACACAAGAUAUCGGAUAUCAACAAAACAGAAUCUGUUCAGAAGAAAGCUGUAUGCUUAAUUUAUCGUCGCUUUGACAGGUAUUUUUCACCUAGUUCCCAUCUUCCUAUCUUACAGCUUACCAGUCUCUCUUCCCAUUGUCACGUUGAAUGUUUGAAGUUUCUUUAUACUUUAAUUCCCCACGGUUCCCCCUACUCGGCAAAUACAUCGCACCCGUUAGACCAACAACCACCCGAAAUUACCAUGAGUUGAACAUGUCUACUUUUAUCCAUCGUACGGUGGCGUUUAAAUAUAGUUUUUUUGUUCAUUCUAUUGAAUUGUGGAACGCUUUGCCUGGUUACGUUCGAUCUUGAUCACUCGAUGACUUCUUAUUGUAUAUUACUAACCAUUGAUGUUGAGCGCACUUGUUAUGCUCUUCUAUGUAUGUAUUUGCCCACUCCUGUGAUAGCCCUGCAGGACUGCAGUAUGUUGAAAUAAAUAAAUAAAUAAAUA
rnacentral:lncRNA from 1 species